rnacentral:lncRNA from 1 species
GGGAAGAUGAAUUCAUAUAGCUUUCAUUCAGACUUGAAAAGCAAGGUGGUUCAAUGACUUGAUUCAACGUUGCAAUUUUGGCUUUAAGCGGUUCCCAUGGCAUUUUACACAAAUGUUCCAUCUUGGCUUUCGUUCAAAGUAUAAAUCUUUUGUUGAGAGAAAUCAAAGAAUCUUGGGUGUGGUGAUCUUGUUGGGGUGGCCUAGGGGAGGACGACUCGGGAAUGGGUGAGAGAUGUGAAGAAGAACUAAAAGAGACAGAUUUUUUGGGUGGUUUGGAUUUGGUGGUGCAUGGAGGAGGGCAUGGUGGUUGCCUAAGGUUUUUGGGUGUGUUGGGAAGAAGAUGAGAUGACGUGGACAUUAUAUCGUUAACGAUUUAGACGUUGUCAUGGAAAAAGACUAAAUUGAACAAAGUUAUAAAAAUUGGGACCAGAUUGAACACUAAAAAAAGUCGAGUCCCACAUUAUACAAAGUAAAUGAAAAUAAAAUCUAAAAGUGAUAUUAAGCCAAAAAAAUAUUAGAGUAGUGAAUAUGAUAUUAAAAUUCCAAAAAAACACUCCUAAUCGAUCCAUAUGUUAAUCCUCUGCUUCAUUUAAUCAAUUUUAUUGAUAUGAACGUUUGUUAAAUUCGACAAAUUUUACAUUCUUUCAUGGAAGAGUUAUUUUAGUACCAAC